rnacentral:rRNA from 1 species
CAAUCCAGGUCGGUUUCUAUCUAUGCAGCCACCCUCUUCAGUACGAAAGGACAAAGAAGCGGAGGACCAAUGCUACAAGCACGUCCCAAACCACUAACUGAAUAAAACUAAAGUUAGACAGCUACUACCACGACCAAAGAUCGUGGUUC